AUUCUAGAUUCUUCUUCUUCUCCACUUUGUUAACUUAAUAAUCAAUAUGUUAUCUAGAGCUUGUUUUGAUUCACCUUAAAAUAUGUGUUGCUUGUUGUGUUAUAGAUUUUCAAAGGUUUGGGAAUGUGUUUUUUUUUACAUUGAUUGUUAACUUAAUAAUCAAUAUGUUAUCUAGAGCUUGUUUUGAUUCACCUUAAAAUAUGUGUUGCUUGUUGUGUUAUAGAUUUUCAAAGGUUUGGGAAUGUGUUUUUUUUUACAUUGAUGUUUGGAUUUAUUCAAGAAUAAAUUCUUCCAUUCUAUGAAUAAAUUGUUUUUGACAUGUGUUUACCGUGAAAAUUGGUAAGCAAUCGUC
rnacentral:lncRNA from 1 species